GUCAUUUGCUGUGACAAUGACAGUGUCAUUAUCGCUUGCCGGCGGAUUUUGGCAGUUUUGAUUUUUUGUCAUAAAUUUAUUAACAAAAACUAAAAAUUUUUCACUGGUGCCUUAGUAGAUCCUAACGACACAGGGCCAGAUCUUUUAUCAUCGGAUUUAAAAUGCUCUUCAGUUUUGACGAGAAACAUCGAUAUGCAAAAUGGCUUCGCAGAAAUUAUCUUCUUGGGCCUUCUGACUUACUUAUCGCUUGGAACCGAAAGGCAAAAACUCUCUCUAGAUAGCAACGAUGUGGACCCCGGAUUAGGCGUUGCAUAACAUCUUGGGAGCAUCCUUUCGUGUUUGCUAUGUUAUCGAACCCAUAAUGAACGAAAUAAGAACAUUUGAAAAGAAAAACUAAA